rnacentral:piRNA from 1 species
UAGAGUCUAAAUUAUGAAGCUCUAAUGGCUGC